AUUGGCUGGACCUGCAAGAUCCUCUUCUUGGUGGCAGCAGCCACAGGUGCCCACUUCCUGGUGCAGCUGGUGCAGUCUGGGGCUGAGGUGAAGAAGCCUGGGGCCUCAGUGUUCUCCUGCCAGGCUUCUGGAUACACCUUCACCUACUGCUACUUGCACUGGGUGCGAUGGGCCCCUGGACAAGGGCUUGAGUGGACAGGA
rnacentral:lncRNA from 1 species